GAGAAGAAGAGAAGAGAGGUGAGGAGAAGAGAAGAGAGAAGAAGAGAGGAGAGGUGAGGGGAAGAGAAGAGAGAAGAAGAGUGGAGAGGUAAGGAGAAGAGAAGAUAUGAGAGGUAAGGAGAAGAGAAGAAGAAGAGAGGAGAGGUGAGGAGAAGAGAAGAGAGAAGAA